GAGCGCGUAGCUCAGCCGGUAGAGCAUCUGACUUUUAAUCAGAGGGUCCUGGGUUCGAGUCCCAGCGCGCUCA
rfam:Methyloceanibacter marginalis strain R-67177 contig_305, whole genome shotgun sequence.